AAAAUCCGUCGACUUUAAAAAUCGUGAGGGUUCAAGUCCCUCUAUCCGCA
rnacentral:tRNA from 1 species